rnacentral:rRNA from 1 species
GAUGAACGCUGGCGGCGUGCCUAAUACAUGCAAGUCGAGCGAACAGACGAGGAGCUUGCUCCUCUGACGUUAGCGGCGGACGGGUGAGUAACACGUGGAUAACCUACCUAUAAGACUGGGAUAACUUCGGGAAACCGGAGCUAAUACCGGAUAAUAUAUUGAACCGCAUGGUUCAAUAGUGAAAGACGGUUUUGCUGUCACUUAUAGAUGGAUCCGCGCCGCAUUAGCUAGUUGGUAAGGUAACGGCUUACCAAGGCAACGAUGCGUAGCCGACCUGAGAGGGUGAUCGGCCAAACGGGAACUGGAACAGGGUCCGACCCCCAAGGGGGGGCAGCAGGAGGAAAUUUUCCGAAAGGGGGGAAAGCUGAACGGGGCAACCCCGGGGGGGGAAGGAGGGUCUUGGGUUGGUAAAACUCUUUUUUUGGGGAAAAACAAAUUGGUAAAUAACUAUGCCCGUCUGGAGGGAACCUAAGCAGAAAGCCACGGCAAACUCGGG